rnacentral:rRNA from 1 species
UACGUAGGUGGCGAGCGUUGUCCGGAUUUACUGGGCGUAAAGGGCUCGUAGGUGGCCAACUAAGUCAUGCGUGAAAUCCCUCGGCUUAACCGGGGAACUGCGCCUGAUACUGGUUGGCUUGAGUUUGGGAGAGGGACGCGGAAUUCCAGGUGUAGCGGUGAAAUGCGUAGAUAUCUGGAGGAACACCGGUGGCGAAGGCGGCGUCCUGGACCAAUACUGACACUGAGGAGCGAAAGCCAGGGGAGCAAACGGG